rnacentral:rRNA from 1 species
GAUGAACGCUGGCGGCGUGCUUAACACAUGCAAGUCGAACGAUGAAGCCCAGCUUGCUGGGUGGAUUAGUGGCGAACGGGUGAGUAACACGUGAGUAACCUGCCCGUGACUCGGGGAUAAGCCUGGGAAACUGGGUCUAUUACGGGAUAUGACUUCUGAUCGAAGGGGGGGGGGUGGAAAGAUUUAGUGGUCUUGGGUGGACUCGCGGCCUAUCAGCUUGUUGGUGGGGUAGUGGUUCAACAAGGCCGCGACGGGUAUCCCGCCUUAGAAGGUGAACGGCCACCAUGGGCCUACGACACGGACCAGUCUGCUACGGGAGGCAACAGUGGGGAAUAUUGUCCAAUGGGCGCAAGCCUGAUGCAGCGAUGCCGCGUGAGGGAUGCCGGCCUUCGGGUUGUAAACCUCUUUCAGUAGGGAAGAAGCGGGAGUGACGGUACCUGCAGAAGAAGCGCCGGCUAACUACGUG